CUGCAGUGCGCGUGCUAUACAUGCAGUCGAGCGGACUGAUGGGAGCUUGCUCCCUGAAGUCAGCGGCGGACGGGUGAGUAACACGUGGGUAACCUGCCUGUAAGACUGGGAUAACUCCGGGAAACCGGGGCUAAUACCGGAUAGUUCUUUUCCUCGCAUGAGGAAAAGUGGAAAGGCGGCUUCGGCUGCCACUUACAGAUGGACCCGCGGCGCAUUAGCUAGUUGGUGAGGUAACGGCUCACCAAGGCAACGAUGCGUAGCCGACCUGAGAGGGUGAUCGGCCACACUGGGACUGAGACACGGCCCAGACUCCUACGGGAGGCAGCAGUAGGGAAUCUUCCGCAAUGGACGAAAGUCUGACGGAGCAACGCCGCGUGAGUGAUGAAGGUUUUCGGAUCGUAAAGCUCUGUUGUUAGGGAAGAACAAGUGCCGUUCGAAUAGGGCGGCACCUUGACGGUACCUAACCAGAAAGCCACGGCUAACUACGUGCCAGCAGCCGCGGUAAUACGUAGGUGGCAAGCGUUGUCCGGAAUUAUUGGGCGUAAAGCGCGCGCAGGCGGUCUCUUAAGUCUGAUGUGAAAGCCCACGGCUCAACCGUGGAGGGUCAUUGGAAACUGGGGGACUUGAGUACAGAAGAGGAAAGUGGAAUUCCACGUGUAGCGGUGAAAUGCGUAGAUAUGUGGAGGAACACCAGUGGCGAAGGCGACUUUCUGGUCU
rnacentral:rRNA from 1 species